AUUUUGUUUCUUACUUUUAAUAACCAUUUUAGUAUCUUGAAUCCCGCUUCGAAAACUUACUCUCUACUAGAUGUUAUACUUUUGGUUUGACUUAUGAUCUGUUAGUAAUGUGUUCUUUUCUGUCCAUUCAUUGUACCAGAUCUGCCAACUGAUAUUUUUUUGGCUCAAGCUUUCAAGAAAAAUAAGCCAAAAUGACCUGAAAGAAUAGUCAGAAUAUUGCUUCCUACUAUGCAUUUUAGUGUCUUUCAAGGACUACAUGCAUGGAUUGGAUUAUUGGUACUUCUAUAUUGUAUUUAGCUGUGUGUAAGCUAGAUAUUUUGAUUCUUUAGGCUAACACCUUUUUGUUCAACUCAAGAACAUAUAAGUUUUUUCGGCACAUUUUCUUUUCCUUCCCCCCCCCUCCCCAAGGUGUGGAGGAUUUCUGCCUAGACAGAACCCCUAUACACUUGCUGAAAUGUAGUCUUUAGCAGCUUCUGGAGCAAUAAUGACACAUGGUGCAUGUUUCUGGGUUUUCAUUUUUGUAUGGUUUGACAUUAAUCCUAUUAUGUUUGGGAUCAUUUAUGUCACUGCCAUAGAACAGCUGUCAUGGGAUGCCUGUAGGGUUAAUUGAUAGCAAACGUCAGGUAGGUAUGCUCUCUCCAAGGUCUAGGUUCGAAUCCCACUAGGUGCAAACAAUCUCUAAGGGUCAUUGGACUCGGGGAUUUUCCCCUUGAAUUACCUGAGGUGCACUUGCGGGAAACUCCUUGCCGAGGACCUGUGUACUCUCGGGAUUAGUCGGGAUGAUGUUCCAGGACACUCGGUGCCAAUAAAAAAAAUGUCAGGUAAAACAUUGGUUUGACAUUUUGGAGUUUUGGGACUUUUGGAAAUAUUUUUUUUUAUUUUUUUGAUAAGUAAUAAUUUUAUUGAAGAAAUAGGCAUAAGCCCAAGUACACAGGAGGUAUACAAAGGAUAAACCUACAACUUCCAGAAAACAAAAAGAAAACAACCCAUAAAACUAAAACAGGUUCAGAAAAUUAUCCACCAUUACAUAAACUUUCGCCCAAAAACCCAAAGUACUCAAGAAAUAAUCCCUAAGAUCUUCCAAAGAGCGUUCGUUAUCUUCAAAACAUCUCCUAUUUCUUUCGAUCCAUAAGCACCAUAUGAGACAAGGAGGAAUCAUCUUCCAAACAGACGCUGCCUUCUUACAGCCCUUCAAACCCUUCCACCCUACCAUUAAAUCCACCACAUCUUUGGGCAUCACCCAAUGCAAACCUGUCCAGCUCAGAACCUCAUCCCACAAGAAUCUAGACACUUCACAGUGAAGGAAAAGAUGAUUUACAGAUUCUCCAUCCUUUUUGCACAUAACACACCAGUCAGAAAUAAACAGUCCUCUCCUUCUAAGAUUAUCAGUUGUCAAAACUUUGCCCAAAGAAGCCACCCAACAGAAAAAAGCAACCUUGGGAGGAACUUUCACUUUCCAAAUACUUUUCCAUGGGAAAACACAACUACUAUGACUUGACAUAACUCUAUAAUAGGAAGAAACUGAAAACUUAGCAUUUCCAGCAGAAGUCCAUGCCAUACUAUCCUCCCUUUCAGUCACCAACUUUAUGCUGUAAAGUUUAGCCAACAAAGCCUGAACUUCAUCCACUUCCCAAUCGUUAACAUCCCUUUUGAAAAUAACAUUCCAAUCAACCUUAUUAUUGCUGCUGCAGUAAGAAUCAUAAACAGCAGCAUUUUGAUCCCUUGCAAUUCUGUACAGGGCAGGAAAUUCCAGCUUAAGAGCAGCAUCCCCACACCACAAAUCAUGCCAAAAGAGAAUUCUUUUUCCAUUUCCCACCUUCAAUCUAAAAUUAUUAGAGAAAAAAUCCCAUCCUUUUCUAAUAAAUUUCCACAAACUCACCCCAUAUGCUCCACUAGAGGCUUUUGAACACCAACCUCCCCACAAACUUCCAUACUUCACAUCUAUCACAUUUUUCCAUAGGGCUUCACUCUCCAAAUGAUAUCUCCAAAGCCAUUUGCCAAGUAAAGCUUUAUUAAAGACCGUCAAAUCUUUAAUCCCCAAACCACCACCGUCCAAUGGUUGACAAACUUUCUUCCAACUGACCAAGUGAAACUUCUUUUCCUCACCUACACCACCCCAUAAGAAAUUCCGAAAUAAACUCCCAAUUUUCUUUUUGGGACUUUUGGAAAUGACUCAGGAAAUCUGGGUUGCAGUUGUUUUAGGGUUUAAAGAUAGCAAAGGCUUUGAGUUUUAUACCAGAAAAAGCUUGGAAACUAUGUUGAUUCGAGGUUCGUUUAUGGUGUUCAAAGUAAUACUUUUAGAGAAACCCAAUUAGUUAGAAAGAGGCAAAGUGCAGGGGCUGCUGUUCUGGGUGCAGUGGACAAAUUCGAGAACAGCAAUUUGAUUCUUGAGCUGUUUGAGAUUUUCCUUCAGUUAGUCUUUAGAGUUGUUGCGGUUCGGAUUUCACGAAGGAAGAUUAUGUGUAUAUUUUUGGAAUUGUUUUGGAUUGGUUAGCUGGAAGAAAGUUUGUCAACCUUUGGAUGGUGGUGGCUUGGGGAUUAAAGAUUUGAUGGUCUUCAAUAAAGCUUUACUAGGCAAAUGGCUUUGGAGAUAUCAUUUGGAGAGUGAAGCCCUAUGGAAAAAUGUGAUUGAUGUAAAGUAUGGAAGUUUGAGGGGAGGUUGGUGUUCAAAAGCCUCUAGUGGAGCAUAUGGGGUGAGUUUGUGGAAAUUUAUUAGAAAAGGAUGGGAUUUUUUCUCUAGUAAUUUUAGAUUGAAGGUUGGAAAUGGUAAAAGAGUCCUCUUUUGGCAUGAUUUGUGGUGUGGGGAUGCUGCUCUCAAGAUGGAAUUUCCUGCCCUGUUCAGAAUUGCAAGGGAUCAAAAUGCUGCUGUUUUUGAUUCCUACUGUGUAAGCAAUAAUAAGGUUGUUUGGAAUGUUAUUUUCAAAAGGGAUAUUAAUGAUUGGGAAGCGGAUGAAGUUCAGGCUUUGUUGGUUAAACUUUACAGUAUAAAGCUGGUAACUGAAAGGGAGGAUAGUAUGGCAUGGUCUUCUGCUGGAAAUGCUAAGUUUUCAGUUUCUUCUUACUAUAGAGUUAUGUCAAGUCAUGGUAGUUGCAUUUUCCCAUGGAAAAGUAUUUGGAAAGUGAAAGUUCCUCCCAAGGUUGCUUUUUUCUGUUGGGUGGCUUCUUUGGGCAAAGUUUUGACAACUGAUAAUCUUAUAAGGAGAGGACUGUUUAUUGCUGAUUGGUGUGUUAUGUGCAAAAAGGAUGGAGAAUCUGUAAAUCAUCUUUUCCUUCACUGUGAAGUGUCUAGACUCUUGUGGGAUGAGGUUCUGAGUUGGACAGGUUUGCAUUGGGUGAUGCCCAAAGAUUUGGUGGAUUUAAUGGUAGGUUGGAAGGGUUUGAAGGGCGGUAAGAAUGCAGCGUCUGUUUGGAAGAUGAUUCCUCCUUGUCUCAUGUGGUGCUUGUGGAUAGAAAGAAAUGGGAGAUGUUUUGAUGAUAAAGAACAUACUUUGGAAGAUCUUAGGGUUUUUUUCAUGGGUACUUUGGGUUAUUGGGCGAAAGUUUAUGUAAUGGUGGAUAAUUUCCUGAAUCUGUUUUAGUUUUUGGGUUUUUUUUCUUUUUGUUUUCAGGAAGUUGUAGGUUUAUCCUUUGUAUACUUCCCGUGUACUUGGGCUUAUGCCUAUUUCUUCAAUAAAAUUAUUACUUAUCAAAAAAAAAAAAAAUAUAGAGUUCCUUUCCGACGUUUGCUUAAAUAAAAAAAAUAGAGAGUUCCUUUCCUACUUCCAGCCACUUCAAAGCCAUCAAAAUUCAGUGUUUACAAACAUUAGCCGAAAACCCUUGAUUUCGUUUGGAUCCUUUUAGAACUUCUAAAGUCACAAGUUUUCCUCAAACUUUCCCACCAAAAUGAUUUUGUCGCUGCUUUCUCACAUUAUUUUGGUUUCUAUGCUAUUUUUCCUUUGUGAGAGACUUUGGGAAGUGUAUGAUUUCUGCAUCCACCUAAUUUUCUCUUUUACAUGUUUAUAUCAAUGCAGAAAAUAGUAUAUGCAUAAAGACCUAUAGAAAGCACAAGUCGCAUUUGUGCUUAUACAUACCAAAACGACUUAUCAAGAUUACAAUUGGAGGUCCUUGAGAUCAUUUACCAAGUAAAGAACCAAUGGAUUUGGUUGCAGGAAUGCUCCCCCACGAUGUUAGUUGUGCUUAUUACUCCUCCACCAGUUGACGAGGUUGGGCGUAGAGAUUAUGCUCGAUCUGUGUACGGGGAGAAAGCGAUGGAACUGCCAGAGAGGACAAAUGAAGUGACAGGCCUAUAUGCCAAGCAGUGUGUUGAACUGGCCAAGGAAAUGGGUCUCUGCUCCAUUGAUCUAUGG